AUUGAACGCUGGCGGCAGGCCUAACACAUGCAAGUCGAACGAGUGGCGGACGGGUGAGUAAUGUCUGGGAAACUGCCUGAUGGAGGGGGAUAACUACUGGAAACGGUAGCUAAUACCGCAUACCAUCAGAUGUGCCCAGAUGGGAUUAGCUAGUUGGUGGGGUAACGGCUCACCAAGGCGACGAUCCCUAGCUGGUCUGAGAGGAUGACCAGCCAAAAUGGAACUUAGAACAGGUCCAGACGCCUACGGGGUGCAGCAGGGGGGAAGAUUUGAACAUGGGGGCAAGCCUGAUGGAGCCAGGCCGCGGGGAUUAAGAAGGCCUUCGGGUUGGAAAGUACUUUCAGCGGGGAGGCGUUACCCGCAGAAGAAGCACCGGCUAACUCCGUGCCAGCCGCCGCGGUAAUAC
rnacentral:rRNA from 1 species